rnacentral:lncRNA from 1 species
AAUUAAUUUGCAGGUAUGGAUCCGAGUAACAACAGUCCUUCAUUCUUAAAGCUGAUUGAGGACGAUGAUCCUAUUUUUUUGUUAUUGACAUGAAUUUUUCCUCCAAUAAAGCAUGAUAUUGGGUGCCAAAUAAUAUAUGAGUAGAGCAUAGAGCAACACAGCGAGACAGAUAUCUCGAGGCUGAGAGAUUUGGGCAUUGAGAGAAAAUAAAGGUUUGAAAUUUGUGAUUUUCUGUUGGUGCAGUUGUCUGUCGACUACAUCUUCGUUCGAGUCUUAGGGUAGGGCUGAGUAUAUAGUGAUCGGAAAACGAGAAAACUUGUUUUAGAUAGGAUCGCUUAUAGGGUAGAUGAGUUGGACCGCUCGAAUGACAUAACAUCUGGAUCGCUCGAGUGACUUGUUGUUGGACCGCUUGAGUGGCAGAUGUUUGGAUCGCUCAUAUGGACUUGUCCAUAUGAGCGGCCCAUGAUUCCUAUAUAUAGAUGAUCAUAUGAGCGGUUCCAGUAGUCCAUAUAUGUGUAUGUAAAGGCGAAGCCCUGUCCGAUUGUCUCCAAAACUUGUAAUUUGACAUAUAUUCAAUACAGGAGACGUUAAGUAGUGAAAUCAAGCUUUACGAAGACUUACUCAAUGAAUUCCGCCUCUGAAUUAGUCUAAGUACUCUUCUGAACGACUCGUCAGGUUAGAAAACGAUCCUACAAGUGGUAUCAGAGCUCAGGAGGAAGAGUUCUUGCCGUUUAGCUCGAUUUUUGCUCGAAAUUCUCACUCCUACACCUUCUUUUUCUGAUUCGAAGAGAUUUCACGGUCGAAAUUCGAAGUUUCAAACCCUGGAAAGUUUCAGAUCAAAAUUCGAAGUUUAAGUGGGUCAAAGUUGGAUUUGAAAUUGUGGACCGCUCGAUCGAACUGUUCUUGGACCGCUCAUCCGGACGGAUCUUGAACCGCUUAUUCGGUCAGAUUGAUCUUGGAUCGCUCCAAAUUAACUUUGAUGAACCGUUUAUUCGGACCACCUUGAAUCGCUCGAACAGAUCUUAUCUGGACCGCUUAUCUGAAAUUGUCUGGAUCGCUCAUUGAUACAAGACUGUCUGAAUCGCUCGAACGAGUAUUGUUUGAACCGCUCAUUUACACAUUGUCCUGGUCCGCUUAUUCGACAAAUUUAAUUGGACCGCUUAUUUGAACUGCUUUGGACCGUUCAUCUGAUCAAUAGUUGGUUCACUUAUUAGUCAAUUAGCACGUGUUGGAUUUGCGUAAAAAUGACAAUGAGUUUUGAUGUGCAGGAAAACAAUGAUCUUGAGAGAAUGAAUAGUUGGUAUCGAGGAUAUCUUAGUAGUUCUUAUCAGAAAAUAGAAAUUUGGUAUGAACGUUUCAAAGGCUUUUUGAGUAAGAAAGAUGAAAAAUUGGAUGAUUUGGAGAGACGUUUUGAUCGUUUGAUAGACUAUUUGAAGGAAAAUCAAAUAGUGAUAUCAGAAUCUGAGUUGGUAUCAAAGUUCGCUAAUGGUUUAUCAGUUGAAUGGGAUGAUUUUUUGAAAAAUUUGAAAGAAAAUUCUAAUUUUUCAAAAUUAACUAUGAAUGAAUUCAUCGGCGAACUUAAAAAUCACGAUUAUGAAAACUAUCAAAAGAAGAGAGAAAUAUUGGAUAAGAUAAAAAUAAAUUUGGAAGAUUUGAGUUUAAAAGUGAUCAAAGAAAUAAAUAAAAAAAUCAAUGUUUGUUUGAAAACAAAAAGAAAUUCGGUGUAUGAUAUGAAAAGAGGAUGUUAUAUUGAUGAUAAUAGAAAUCCUCUUGAUCUUGUUACAAUCUUUGGUGCAGGAACAUAUAAGAUAGAGAAAGAACAAGUGCCGAAGGUUGAAGAAUCUGUGAAGAAUGAAACUUCAUGUUCUGAAACAGUAUGCUUCGAAUGUGACCGCUUCAAGACUGAAAAUGACAAACUCUUGAAGGAUGCGGAAAGUUUGACAUCUGAAGUCAAGAAGCUAGAAGAUGUGAAGCAAGCUGAUACUAAACAGAUUCUUAUGUUACAAGAAGAUUGU